rnacentral:rRNA from 1 species
GACAGAGGGUGCAAGCGUUGUCCGGAUUGACUGGGCGUAAAGGGCGCGUAGGCGGCCAGGUAAGUCCGAUGUGAAACCAUCAUCGCUCAACGAGAUGUCCGCAUCGGAAACUGUUUGGCUUGAGUGCAGGAGAGAAAAACGGAAUUCCUGGUGUAGCGGUGGAAUGUGUAGAUAUCAGGAGGAACACCCGUGGCGAAGGCGGUUUUUUGGCCUGUUACUGACGCUGAGGCGCGAAAGCUAGGGGAGCAAACCGG